UACGUAGGGUGCAAGCGUUAUCCGGAUUCACUGGGUUUAAAGGGUGCGUAGGUGGUUUUGUAAGUCAGUGGUGAAAGCCCGGAGCUCAACUCCGGAACUGCCAUUGAUACUGCUUAACUUGAAUCAACUUGAGGUGGAUGGAAUAUUACAUGUAGCGGUGAAAUGCUUAGAUAUGUAAUAGAACACCGAUUGCGAAGGCAGUUCACUAAGGUUGUAUUGACACUGAGGCACGAAAGCGUGGGGAUCAAACAGG
rnacentral:rRNA from 1 species